GGGCCAAGAAGUCCAGGAAGGGCCUGCUCCUCUUCAUCGACGAGGCCGAUGCCUUCUUGUGCGAGUAAGCGGCCCCUCCAUCUCUCCUUGUGGCAUGACGUCCGGCGGCACGACGAUGGCCGCCAAUAAUCUCCGCAUGGGCCUGUUGAGAGAGAGAGAAACAGGGAGAUGAGGGCGGAGGAGGAUGGUGAUGAUGGAAUGCGAGGAGAUGUUCAACUUCACAUUCGUGUUGUUAGCUGUCGGGAGCUCUGGAUAUGGAAAUGCUCUUGUUCUGUAGAUGAUGAGGACUUUAAUUUCGGGGAGUUUCUCGGAGAGGAAGUGAGCAAGGAUUCUUACUUUCAUGGCUGCUGCUGGGUUUUAUUUCUUGCAGGAGGAACAGCGUUCGAAUGAGCGAGGCCCAGCGGAGCGCCCUCAACGCGCUGCUCUUCCGGACCGGCGACCAGUCGAGAGACGUCGUCCUCGUCCUGGCCACCAACCGCCCCGGGG
rnacentral:lncRNA from 1 species